CGAAUUUCUAAAUACAGACCUCCCCUGCUCUGUCUUACCAUCCCCACAUGAGGACGCAGAAGAUUCAUUUCGCAAUCUAUCGAGUUGUGAGUUGUCAAAUAAAAAACGAACUCACAAACGUAAAUCAUAUUGCAAAAUUCUUCGAGCUUCAAGUGGGAAACUGAUCAAAUACACAGCGGCAGACAGCAACGCGGAGAAAAAAUACAAGUCGAUCCAUUUGAAUCCAAUUCAACACCAAAAGACUGUAACAAAUCAAACGUUAGAGGGACGGUCACGGGGUUGUAAAUGAUUGCAAAUCAUUGACAUCAGGUGUCGAUGACAAUAAAUGCUGCCACAAUUUGAAUAAAAUUUAAUGAUAAAUAUACUAUGUCAGCGAUACCAAAAAAUCA